rnacentral:ncRNA from 1 species
AAACGUUGUUGCGACAGCAUUCCUGCGUAGUACGAGAGGAACCGCAGGUACGGACCAAUGGCACAAUACUUGUUCGAGCGAACAGUGGUAUGACGCUACGUCCGUUGGAUUAUGCCUGAACGCCUCUAAGGUCGUAUCCGUGCUGGACUGCAAUGAUAAAUAAGGGGCAAUUUGCAUUGUAUGGCUUCUAAACCAUUAAAAGUUUUUAAUUUGUUUUAUUAACGACAAUGGAUGUGAUGCCAAUGUUAUUUAUAACAUAGUAAAUUGGGAGGAUCUUCGAUCACCUGAUGCCGCGCUAGUUAUAUUUUAAAACAUUAUUUAAUACAAUGUCAAAGCCCUAGAAUCAAUUGUAAACGACUUUUGUAACAGGCAACGUGUUGUAAGUGGUGAGCAGCUGCCAUACUGCGAUCCACUGAAGCUUAUCCUUUGCUUGAUGAUUCGA